AGGGUGCCAUCCUGUGCUCACA
rnacentral:miRNA from 1 species